rnacentral:rRNA from 1 species
UACAGAGGGGGCGAGCGUUGUUCGGAAUUACUGGGCGUAAAGGGCGCGUAGGCGGCCAACUAAGUCAGACGUGAAAUCCCUCGGCUCAACCGGGGAACUGCGUCUGAUACUGGAUGGCUUGAAUUCGGGAGAGGGAUGCGGAAUUCCAGGUGUAGCGGUGAAAUGCGUAGAUAUCUGGAGGGACACCGGUGGCGAAGGCGGGUCUCUGGGCCGUAACUGACGCUGAGGAGCGAAAGCGUGGGGAGCAAACAGG